UUCGUAAUGAAACACGUGUAAGAUCAUUCAGAUCCCCUUUGAUUAUCAAUAAAAUUUUAAUAUAUUUUGAAUUAUUUAAUUCACUAUAAUAUUCGCCAUAGACAUAUUGCAUAUUACACACCAAGGGAAGAAAGUUCGACAUUUCAACCCAUGUGUGUGAUAUGCAGAUUGGGACUUUCUUUCUAAGUGACGUGAAUACAAUUUUUCACCAUAUCAUAAAAAAUUAGCGCAUGCGCCAUUCUUCCCACAGAGGUAAAAAUUUAAACUUUGAGGUGUAGAUCUGGUGAAAAUUUGUAUACACACCACGGAGGAAAGUAUAAUAUACUAUUUCAAAAGUAGUGUUUAAUCUGAAACUGCACAAAACGAGAAUAUAAUAUAAUGUACUAUUUUAUAUUAGUGACGUCGUAAAAUAUUUUUUAUUUUUGUUGAAAAACAUGAUAAAGAAUCACAAAAAAAAAUUGUGGAAGCACAAUAAUCGUUAACUGAAUUCGCGAUCCUGUUCCUCAGUCAAUAGCGCACAUAGAUUUUUUAUGAUUGAGUUGUACUCAAUAACCUGUGCAAUCUCAAACCUGGUUUAUUACAGACACGACCAAGUUGUUCUAAUAUUUCUGGGGAGUCAAUUUGGCCAUUUAUGGUUUUGUAGAAAAAUACAAGAUUAGCAAUUUUUGUAGGAGAGUUUGCUGAUCUUAAAUUGAUCAUACACUUCUUCUAUGUUUUAUACGAAUUUUUUCAUUAUGUUUUGAUAACAAAAAAUUUUCGAUUGAUUAUCGUAUUUACAUCUUAUCAAAUCGUCCAUGAAAUCAUUCUUGUAGGGCACCUGUAUCGCGGCAAAGUUUGUUUUUCUCUCCUACUUUUUUCUACUAUAUUUUGUAGUGGGAUUGACAUACUUGCGUACAUAAAUAUAAAGUCGAAUUUAUUACCACAAGUAGUUUAAUUAAUUUGUUACACUUAGAUGUGUAGACAGAGUAUAAAAAUUAACUAAAAAUUUUUCAUAAUUAAAUAAAAAAAAAUGAAGUUCUAUAUAAUUUUGAUUGCCUCAAUAUUCUUAAUUGUUUCUCCUUUCAUUGUUUCGGCUUUUAGUGAUAGAGUAAGUUAUGAAUGUUUCCAAAAAUUCGUUCGAGUUAAAUUCACACCACUUGAAUCAUUCAAAGGAAAAAUAGAUGUCGCAAAUAAUACAAAUAGUCCAGGGUGUCAUCUUUCUGCUGGAAUCGAUCAACAAGUUGUAUUUGAUAUCUAUUACAAGAAAUGUACAAAUAGAUCGAGAAAGUUUGGGCUCUUUUUAACAGAGAAACACCGAGGGCCAAAAAUUGGUAAUCAGAGAAGAAGAAAUACCGUACACGGCUAUUGGCCUGAGGUUGAUUGUCCCAUAUUUCCAAAAACUCAAGUUGAUAUUCAUAAUAGAGACUGUCCCGGUACCAUAGAAAGAGUAAAUGGUAAAUUGGUGUGUUAUGAAGACGAUUAAGGGAUUUUGUUGAUUACCAAAUUUGGACACUCACUUAUGCAUAAGUGGUGUCUCUUUUAAGUGUGUUUUCAUUAUUUUUUUCUUUUCACAAAAUUAGUAAUUAUUAAGUUUACAUUGAAAAAAAAUUACUUAUUAUUUGAUUCUAAAAUAUUUGUAUAUGUAGCAAAAAACUUUAUCAAUAUCAAUUAAUUUUUUGUAAAAUUUAUGAAUAAGUGUAAUUUUUUUAAAUAAAUUGAAUCUAUUAAAAUGUA